rnacentral:lncRNA from 1 species
AGGGGAGGAGUAUGGUGUGAUUUUUCAUUUGUAAUGGUCAUCUAUUAUUUGAGGGAUUAAAUCCUCUGCUGAGAGUAUAGCAUAUUCUGUUAAAGUAACUUCAACAUCAUUUACUAUUAUUGAGUGAGCUUUAUGCAAAAUUGAUGCUGAGCUUAUGCAGCAGAACACUGAACUAAGCCAUUCCUUCAUCUCUACUGAUCAAGUAAGUUUUUCUCUUUGGAUAAGUUUGCAAGGAAGCAGCUUGCUAUUCAAAUUGUAAUUUUAUGAGAGGGUUGCAUUUUAUACAGAGAUAAUAAGGGGGGAGUUCUGAAAAAAAAUGCAAGUAACAUGAAGUACAUUUGAUCAUGACUCAGCAUGCGAAAAGUAUCUAGCCAGCACCUGUUUGUAGAAGAAUUCUAUCACCUUUGUGUCAUUCAACCUGGACCACCUUUGCAAAUAUAAGCCCUCUCAGUGACAUGUUCUGAGUUAUUUAUUCCAGCAGAAGCACUUGCAGGGCAUUUGAAGUUCUACGAGUUUGCUGCUGCAU